CCUGGUAUACCACGCUGUAAACGAUGUCGACUUGGAGGUUGUGCCCUUGAGGCGUGGCUUCCGGAGCUAACGCGUUAAGUCGACCGCCUGGGGAGUACGGCCGCAAGGUUAAAACUCAAAUGAAUUGACGGGGGCCCGCACAAGCGGUGGAGCAUGUGGUUUAAUUCGAUGCAACGCGAAGAACCUUACCUACUCUUGACAUCCACGGAAUUCGCCAGAGAUGGCUUAGUGCCUUCGGGAACCGUGAGACAGGUGCUGCAUGGCUGUCGUCAGCUCGUGUUGUGAAAUGUUGGGUUAAGUCCCGCAACGAGCGCAACCCUUAUCCUUUGUUGCCAGCACGUAAUGGUGGGAACUCAAAGGAGACUGCCGGUGAUAAACCGGAGGAAGGUGGGGAUGACGUCAAGUCAUCAUGGCCCUUACGAGUAGGGCUACACACGUGCUACAAUGGCAUAUACAAAGAGAAGCGAACUCGCGAGAGCAAGCGGACCUCAUAAAGUAUGUCGUAGUCCGGAUUGGAGUCUGCAACUCGACUCCAUGAAGUCGGAAUCGCUAGUAAUCGUAGAUCAGAAUGCUACGGUGAAUACGUUCCCGGGCCUUGUACACACCGCCCGUCACACCAUGGGAGUGGGUUGCAAAAGAAGUAGGUAGCUUAACCU
rnacentral:rRNA from 1 species